AAUAUAUUACAUAUUUCUUAAAAAAUGCAAUUCUUAGGCUGGUUUUUUUAAUCUCCAGAUCGGAGACGAAGGCCAGCUUCCCAUCCCAUAAUAAUCUCAAUUAUUUAAAAGUUGUUUUAUCGGGUGGAAUAUGUCCCAUUACCAAGAAGAUGAUGCUGAAUACAUGGAUGAGUAUGACAUUGAAGACAUAGAUGAUGAAAUGGAUGAAGAGUUUCCUAGCAGAUAUAUCUCUGGCUCAGACUCCGAUGUUGAUGAAAAUGACUACUUG